rnacentral:rRNA from 1 species
UACGAAGGGGGCUAGCGUUGCUCGGAAUCACUGGGCGUAAAGGGUGCGUAGGCGGGUCUUUAAGUCAGGGGUGAAAUCCUGGAGCUCAACUCCAGAACUGCCUUUGAUACUGAGGAUCUUGAGUCCGGGAGAGGUGAGUGGAACUGCGAGUGUAGAGGUGAAAUUCGUAGAUAUUCGCAAGAACACCAGUGGCGAAGGCGGCUCACUGGCCCGGUACUGACGCUGAGGCGCGAAAGCUAGGGGAGCGAACGGG